rnacentral:rRNA from 1 species
GAUGAACGCUGGCGGCGUGCCUAAUACAUGCAAGUCGAGCGAACAGAUGAGGAGCUUGCUCCUCUGACGUUAGCGGCGGACGGGUGAGUAACACGUGGAUAACCUACCUAUAAGACUGGGAUAACUUCGGGAAACCGGAGCUAAUACCGGAUAAUAUAUUGAACCGCAUGGUUCAAUAGUGAAAGACGGUUUUGCUGUCACUUAUAGAUGGAUCCGCGCCGCAUUAGCUAGUUGGUAAGGUAACGGCUUACCAAGGCAACGAUGCGUAGCCGCCCUGAGAGGGUGACCCGCCACACGGGCAGUGAGCCCGGGCCCACCGCCCGACGGGAGGCCGCAGUGGGGAUUGUGCGUCAUGGGCCGCAGGCCGAAGGCAGCCGCCCCGGGGGUGUGAUGAAGGUCUUCGGGUCGUAAACCUCUUUCAUUGGGGAAAAACAGGGUUGUACGUAUCUAGACACGUCGUGACGGUACCUAAAAAAAAAGCAACGGCUAACUACGCG